GUAACUUAUAAAAUGGCGGCGUCCACAUGUAUACGUCCUUCCCGGGAUUAGCCAGGCAGCUAGAGGAUGACUUAAUAAGGAGAGUGGAGAAACUGGCCAAUUAAUGAACAUGCCCUGAUCAUUAAUCCACCACUGAAGGAAGUCAGAGCAGAAACUCAAGCAGGGACUUGAAGAAGAAACCAUGGAGGAAUACGGCUUGCUGGCUCACCUAAGGAAGACCACUGAAGCCACCGCAGACAGCAGAACCUCAAUCAGCUUGAAAGAGAAUGGGCUCAACAAAAGAGCAAACUGUCAACAGUGAUGAUGAGGUGCAACAUUCAACUUCACAGUUCUUGGAAUCAGGAGAGGCUCUGAGACAGGUUUCUUGCUAGUUAAGCAGUGUGGUUCCUGCUCCGCCGCCGCUGCUGCUGCUGCUGCCACCGCUGCAGCUGCCAAGGGACAAGCAACAAGCAGCCUUUGUGUCUAUCCAGAGCCUCAUGCUGAGCCAGCUGCCCGAGUCGGUGUAAACACGACACUGCUUAGCCCAGCUCAGUUUGUAAUCCCUGGCCUAAUGCAGCGCAGGUGCAUUUUGAAUGAGCGCACUUCCUUCCCCGCUGCAACUUAUUACUGUCAGGAUGCCAGUGGCUCCUUUUCUAUAGUCAAAACCAGAAAAUAUCUGUGACCUGGGAUGUUUGCACGGAAAUAUGAGUGUCCCAAAAUCGCUCUCUGAGUGUAAGCCUGCUGCUAGUGGAGGCUGUUGUUAGCACCCAGAGAGGAGAUGAGCUGGUAUUUUCAAGGAGAAUAUUGUUUAUCACAUGCACCAAAUCAUUAAAUCACCAGUACUAUUUAGUGGGUGCUUAGAUGUCUGUGUUCAUAUUAUCUGUGCAUAAAAAUUCCCGAGAAGAAGCUGUGUCUUGCUCUAUGAACAAAACUCUUCUGGAAGAGGUGUCUGUGUCUGCAGAGACUGAUGAUGGGUGAAUUGGGAUUUCAGGCCUGUGGAGAGAUUGGAAUUUUGCUGGUUCAGAGGUUAAUUACUUUGUCUUGGGCUAGUUUUAGCUUUCUGGAAUGCCUAUUGUUUGCCAGGCCAUUGUAUUCCCUUAGCAGGACACUAGCUUCUGCCAUUCAGUAGCUAAGAAUGCUUGCUACCAGCUUGUAUUUUAGGCCUAUAAUUAUCACCUUCCAUCUUGUUUUACUUGCCUUACUAGUUUAUCCAUCAAUAUAUUUUAAACUUGCCUUGAGUUUUAUAACUUUCUCUGCUCUGUAAAGCUAUAAACCUUCAUGAAACUGCUUCCACAUCAGAACAUGAAAUUUCAUGUAACCUAAAUUUGUUUUCUUGGCCAUGGUUAUUUAAAAUAACUCCAAAAUAAACUAGUUCUUAU
rnacentral:lncRNA from 1 species